UACAGAGGUCCCGAGCGUUGUUCGGAUUCACUGGGCGUAAAGGGUGCGUAGGUGGCCUGAAAAGUUUGAUGUGAAAGCUCAGGGCUUAACCCUGAAAUGGCAUUGAAUACUGUCGGGCUGGAGGUUUGGAGGGGGGACUGGAAUUCUUGGUGUAGCAGUGAAAUGCGUAGAUAUCAAGAGGAACACCAGUGGCGAAGGCGGGUUGCUGGGCUGACACUGACGCUGAGGCGCGAAAGCCAGGGGAGCAAACGGG
rnacentral:rRNA from 1 species